GGUACAAAGUCAUACCAGGUAUUCACUUAGUAGUGACAAGUGCCCGGUUACGAAAAAUGGCACGGGUCUUCUGACAGACUUAAAACCAAGGUUCCGUUUUAUAUUAGGCGUGACAUGUGAAAGGAUCGUCGAUGCAGUUUGCGUCAGACUUUAGCACAGGUCAAAAUUGUUGCACUUCCCCUAAGCUGAUGUGCAUAUAAGUAAAAUUAACGAAGUACCAAUUGAUAAUCGAAAUACAAGCCCAUUAGAAUACUACAAAUUAUAUGUGUAAAUGGUGUCAACAUAAAGACAAAUUGCGAAUCCCAAAGGGAUAGGACCAGUUGUCCGGAAGGAAUCAGCGCUUU
rnacentral:rRNA from 1 species